rnacentral:lncRNA from 1 species
CCAGCUCCUGAAAUCUGCUUUUUUCACUUAGGAAUAUAUCUUGAUGAUAUACAUUAAUACAUAUAGAUAUGAUUGCUCUUUUUUUGUGUGUCUCACCCCAUUGCAGUGCUACAGUAUAAAUCAUUUAACUAGUCUCUAUAAACAGUGUGUGUGUGUGUGUGUGUGUGUGUAAAGACUCCUCUGGGCUGUGCCAGCAUGGGACUCCUCUCCAACAUCCUUCCCUAGAAUUCAUCCUCUUCUAAAUCAGAGAUCCAGAUCACAGGUGGUGGACUGCUGUCUGAGUGAGAACUUCCAAGACCAAGGACCCUGGCUGACAAGUUCGUAUGCUUGAUUCUUAAGAAGGAACUGAGAGGGCUGGGGUUGUAGCUCUGUGGUAGAGUGUUUGCCUCGCAUGUGGAAGGCACUGGGUUUGAUCCUCAGCAGCACAUAAAAAUAAAAAAUAAAGGUAUUGUGUCCAUCUACAACUAAUAAAAUAUAUGUAUAUAAAAAGAAGGAACUGAGAGUCUUCUGCAACAAUUGACAUUCUGGAUAGCCAAACAGAUGGGCUUAUGUCUUUUCUCUGCUCCUAGUAGAUUCACAGUUUGUUUUUUAUUUUUAUUUUUUUAGUUGUAGAUGUAAACAAUACCUUUAUUUUAUUUCUUUAUUUUUUAUAUGGUACCAGAGGGCAGGGUGAUUGAACCCAGUGCCUCACACAUGCUAGGCAAGCGCUCUACCACUAAGCCACAACCCUAGCCCACAGAUUCACAGUUUUAACCCAUUCUGCAUACUUAAAAUAUUUUUUCUUCCUUUCCAUUUUUUUUUGCAGUGGUAGGGAUGGAACCCAGACCUCAUUCAUACUAGACAAGUGCUCUACCACUGAGCCUCACCCCAGCCAAGUCCCCAGCCUUUAAAAUUGUUUUUUAACUUCAAGUUUGGGAGAUUGAAUUAAUUAUACUCCUUAUUCCAAAGUACCUCCUCCUCUUUAGUCUCUUCAAGGUCCCUCUCUUAUUUUAUCUAUCUAUCUAUCUAUCUAUCUAUCUAUCUAUCUAUCUAUCUAGUAUUUGUCCCUCCUUCCAAACUAUUUCCUCUUACCAAAGCAACCAUUCUUCUCUAUUUAAUUGAAUGUGUUUCUUUUUUUUGGCAGGGGGUGAGUACUGGGUUUUGAAUCCAGGGGUGCUCUACUAAUGAACAAUAUCCAUAACCCCCCCUUUUUAUAACCUGUACACAUAUUUUUAAAAAUUACUUGAAUCUAAUAGUAAUUGGUCAUAAAAUAUGUAAUUAUCAUUUUUUAAAUUUUGAAUUUAUUCUAAUUUGUUAUACACGAGAGCAGAAUGCAUUUCAAUUCAUAGUACACAUAUAGAGCACAAUUUUUCAUGUCUCUGGUUGUACACAAAGUAGAGUCACACCAUCUCAUUCCACCAUCUUUCCAACCCCCUUGCCCCUCACUUCCCCUCCCUCCCCUUUGCCCAAUCAAAGUUCCUUCAUUCUUCCCAUGCUUCUCCCCACCCCAUUCCCAUUAUGGAUCAGCAUCCACAUAUCAGAGAAAACAUUUAGCCUUUGGGUUUGGGGGAUUGGCUUACUUCACCUAGCAUGAUAUUCUCCAACUCCAUCCAUUUACCUGAAAAUGCCAUGAUUUUAUUCUCUUUUAAUGCUGAGUAAUAUUCCAUUGUGUAUCUACACCACAGUUUCUUUAUCAAUUCAUCAGUUGAAGGGCAUCUAUAUUGGUUCCACUAUUUAGCUAUUGUGAAUUGUGCUGCUAUAAACACUGAUGUGUCUGCAUCACUGUAGUAUGCUGUUUUUAAGUCCUUUGGUAUAAACUGAGGAAUGGGAUAGCUGGGUCAAAUGGUGGUUCCUCCAGGUUUUCCAAGGAAUCUUCAUACUGCUUUCCAGAUUGGUUGCACCAAUUUGCAGUCCUACCAGCAAUGUAUGAAUGUGUCUUUUCCCCCACAUCCUCACCAACACUUAUUGUUGUUUGUAUCCUUAAUAGCUACCAUUCUUACUGCAGUAAGAUGAAAUCUUACAGUAAUUUUGAUUUGCAUUUCUCUAAUUGCUAGAGAUGUUGAACAUUUUUUCAUACAUUUGUCUAUUGAUUGUAUAUCGUGUCUGUUCAGUUCCUUGGCCCAUUUGUUGAUUGGGUCAUUUGCUUUCUUUCUUUCUUUCUUUUUUUUUGUGUUUUUUUUGGUUUUUUGAGAUUUUUAUGUAUACUAGACAUUAGUGCUCCAUCUGAUGUGCAUAUGGUAAAAACUUGCCCCCAUUCUGUAGGCUCUCUCUUCACCUCACUGAUUGUUUCUUUUGCUGAGAAGAAGCUUUUUAGUUUGAAUCCAUCCCAUUUAUUGAUUCUUGAUUUUAUUUCUUGCACUAUAGGAGUCUUAUUAAGGAAGUCAGGGCUUAAUCUGACAUGAUAAAGAUUUGGGCCUACUUUUUCUUCUAUUAGGCACAGGGUUUCUGGCUUAAUUCCUAGGUCCUUUAUCCACUUUGAGUUGAGUUUUGUGCUGGUGACAGAUAGGGGUUUAAUUUCAUUUUGUUGCAUAUGGAUUUCCAGUUUUCCCAGCACCAUUUGUUGAAGAGAUUAUCUUUUCUCCAAUAUAUGUUUUUGAUGCCUUUGUCUAGUAUGAGAUAACUGUUUUUAUGUGGGUUUGUCUCUGUGUCCUCUAUUCUGUACCAUUGGUCUACAAGUCUGUUUUGGUGCCAGUACCAUGCUGUUUUUGUUACUAUUGCUCUGUAGUAGAGUUUGAGGUCUGAUAUAGUGAUGCCACCUACUUCACUCUUCUUGCCAAGGAUUGCUUUGGUAUUUUGGGUCUCUUAUUUUUCCAGAUGAAUUUCAUGAUUGCUUUUUCUAUUUCUCUGAGGAAUGUCAUUGGGAUUUUUAUUGGAAUUGUAUUAAAUCUGUUUAGUGCUUUUGGUAGUAUGGUCAUUUUGACAGUGUUAAUUCUGUCUAUCCAAGAACAAGGGAGAUCUUUCUGUCUUCUAAGGUCUUCUUUAUUUUUUUUUUCUUUAGUGUUCUGUAAUUUUCAUUGUAGAGGUCUUUUUCACCUCUUUGAAUCCCAAGUAUUUUAUUUUAUUUUGAGGCUAUUGUAAUUGGGGUAGUUUUCCUAGUUUCUCUUUCAGAGGAUUUGUUACUGAUAUACAGAAAUGCCUUUGAUUUAUGGGUGUUGAUUUUGUAUCCUACUACUUUGCUGAAUUAAUGUAUUAGAAGUUUUCUGGUGAGAUUUUUUUUGGAUCCUCUAGGUAUAGAAUCAUGGCUUCAGCAAAUAGUGAUAAUUUGAGUUCUUCUUUUCCUAUCCAUAUCCCUUUAAUUUCUUUCAUCUGUCUAAUUGUUCUGGCUAGAGUUUCAAGAACUAUAUUUAAUAGAAGUAGUGAAAGAAGGCAUUCCUGUCUUGUUCCAGUUUUUAGAGGAAAUUCUUUCCAUUUUUCUCCAUUUAGAAUGAUGUUGGCUUUGGGCUUAGCAUAGAAAACUUACAAUGUUGAGAUAUGUUCCUGUUAUCCCGAGUUUUUAUAGUGUUUUGAACAUGAAGAGGUGCUGUAUUUUGUCAAAUGCCUUUUCUGCACCAAUUGAGAUGAUCAUAUGAUUUUUAUCUUUAAGUCUAUUGAUGUGAUGAAUUACAUUUAUUGAAAUCUGUAUGUUGAACCAACCUUACAUCCCUGGAAUGAACCCCACUUGAUUGUGGUGGACUAUGUUUUUGAUAUGUUUUUGUAUUUGAUUUGUCAGAAUUUUAUUGAGAAUUUUUGCAUCUAUGUUCAUUUGAGAUAUUGGUCUAAAGUUUUCUUUCUUUGAUGUGUCUGUGCCUGGUUUUGGAAUCACAGUGAUAUCGCCUCAUAGAAUGAGUUUGGAAGUGUUUCCUCUUUUUCUAUUUCAUGAAAUAAUUUGAGGAGUAUUGGUAUUAGUUCUUCUUUGAAGGUCUUGUAGAGCUGUGUAUUCAUCUGGUCCUGGGCUUUUUCUUGGUUGGUAGGCUUCUGAUGGAGUCUUCUAUUUCAUUGCUUGAAAUUGAUCUGUUUAACUUGUGUAUAUAAUUCUGAUUCAGUUUGGGCAAAUCAUAGGACUCUAGAAAUUUGUCAAUGCCUUUGAUAUUUUCUAUUUAUUGGAUACAAAUUUUCAAAAUAAUUUCUAAUUAUCUUCUGUAUUUCUGUAGUGUCCAUUGUGAUAUUUCCUUUUUUAUCACAGAUGUUAGUAAUUUGAGUUUUCUUUCUCUUUCUCUUUAUGAGCAUGGGUAAGGAUUUAUCAAUUUUAUUUAUUUGUUCAAAGACCAAUUUUUGGUUUUUAUCAUUUUUUUCAAUUGUUUCUUUUGUUUCAAUUUCAUUGAUUUCAGCUCUAAUUUUAAUAAUUUCCUGUCUUCUACUGCUUUUGGUGUUGAUUUUUUCUUAUUUUUCUAGGGCUUUGAGAUGUAAUGUUAGGUCAUUUAUUUGUUGACUUUGUCUUCCUUUAAGGAAUGAACUCCAUUCAAUGAACUUUCCUUUUAGUACUGCCUUCAUGUGUCCCAGAUAUUUUUGAUAUGUUGUAUCAGUGUUAUCAUUUACCUCUAAGAAUUUUCUAAUCUCCUCUUUGAUGUCUUCUGCAACUCAUUGUUCAUUCAAUAGCAUAUUAUUUAGUCUCCAGGUGUUGGAGUAGCUUCUAUUUUUUAUUUUAUCAUUGAUUUCUAAUUUCAUUCCAUUAUGACCUUUUAGAUUACAGGGUAGUAUCUCUACUUUUUUGUAUUUGCCAAGAGUUGCUUUGCGGCAUAAUAUAUGGUCUAUUUUAGAUAAGGACCAUGUGCUGAUGAAAAUAAAGUGUUUUCACUCAUUGAUAGAUGAAUAUUUUAUAUAUCUCUGUUGAGUUUAAGUUAUUGAUUGUAUUAUUGAGUUCUAUAGUUUCUCUGUUUACCUUCUGUUUGGAAGAUCUAUCAAGUGGUGAGAGAAGUGUGUUAAAGUCACUGAAAAUUAUUGUGUUGUGGUCUAUUUGCUCUUGAACUUGAGAAAGAGUUUGUUUGAUGAACGUGGAUGCUUUGUUUGGGGCAUACAUAUUUAUAAUUUUUAUGUCUUGUUGAUGUAUGGGUUCCCUUAAGCAGUAUGAAAUGUCCUUCUUUAUCUUUUUUGAUUAACUUUGGCUUGAAGUCUACUUUAUUUGAUAUGAGGAUGGAAACCCCUGCUUAUUUCCACAGUCCAUGAGAGUGGUAUGUUUUUUCCCAACCUUCCACCUUUAGUCUGUGGGUGUCUUUUCCUAUGAAACGAGUCUGUGGGAGGCAGCAUAUUGUUGGUUCUUUUUUUUUAUUAUUAUUUAUUUAUCUAAUCUUCCAGUCUAUGUCUUUUGAUGGUAAGUUUAGGCCAUUAACAUUUAGGGUUAUUAUUGAGACAUGAUUUGUAUUCCCAGUCAUUCUUGUUUAUUUUUGUUAUUUAACUUGACUACAUUUUUCCUUUGAAUGUUUUUUCCUUUAGUGUAAUACCUCUCUUUGCUGAUUUUCAUUGUUGUUUUUCAUUUCCUCCUAGUGGAAUAUUUUUCCAAGGAUGUUCUGUAGUGCAGGCUUUCUAGUUUUAAAUUCUUUUAACUUUUGUUUACCGUGGAAGGUUUUUAUUUCAUCAUCAAAUCUAAAUAUUAAUUUUGGUAGAGAAAAUUCUUGGUUGGCAUCAGUUUUCUUUUAGUGCUUGGUAUAUGUUGUUUCAAGAUCUUCUAGCUUUCAGGGUCUGGUUUGAAAAAUCUGUAGCGGUCCUAAUUGUUUUCCCCCUAUGUAUAAUCUGAUUCCUUUCUCUUGUGGCUUUUCAAAUUCUCUGCUUAUUCUAUGUGCUAGGCAUUUUCAUUAUAAUAUGCCUUGGUGUAGAUCUGUUGUGAUUUUAUAUAUUUGGUGUCCUGUAAGCCUCAUAUAUUUGAUUUUCCAAUUCAUUGUUCAGUUUGGGAAAUUUUCUGAUAUUAUCUCAUUGAAUAGAUUGUUCAUUCCUUUGGUUUGUAACUCUAUGUCUCCCUCUAUCCCAAUAAUUCUUAAAUUUGGUCUUUUUAUGUUAUUCCAUAAGUCUUGAAUGUUCUGCUCAUGGUUUCUUACCAUCUUCACUGUAGGGUCAACUUUAUUUUCACGAUUAUAAAUUUUGUCUUCAUUGUCUGAGGUCCUGUCUUCCAAGUGAUCUAAUCUGUUGGUGGUGCUUUCUAUUGAGUUUUUAAUUUGGUUUAUUAUUUCUUUCAUUUCAAGAAUUUCUGUUGUUGUUUUUUUUUUUUUCAGAACCUCUAUCUCCUUAUUGAAGUGUUCUUUGGCUUCCUGUAUUUGCUUAUGUAGCUCUUUAUUGAAAUGAUAUUUUGAUGCCUGUGUUUGCUCUCUUAUAUCAUCUUUUAAUUCACAGAACAUUUUAAUUAUGUACAUCCUAAACUCCUUUUCUGUCGUUUCUUCUGUUGCGCUGGCCAUGGAUUCUGACAAUGUAGUACUGUGGUUUGUUUGGGGCACUUUCCCUUGUUUUUUCAUGUUGUUCAUGUGUCUUCCCUUCUAGCACUGAGGAUCUGAGGUGUUACAGUUUUUACCCUAUAGGGUUACAGUGUCUCUGCAGGGUUUCAAUACCUCUCCUUUAAUGGGGAGAACAAUAUUAACAGAUCCCAAUACAAACAAUAUACAGCCUUAAACCAAAUAGUUGUAGAUGUUUACGGUUUUGUCACAAUAUACAGUUCAAUUAUUAUCUACAAUAUAAACAAUAAGUUUGCAAAAGGAUCUACAGUUUCUGCUGGUGGACAAAGAGAGAACAGGAGGUGGGGUGUAGGAUGAGAUGUAAAGGAGAUAGAAGGUGAGGAUAUAGUUAUUAGAUAUUAGGAAGCAUGAAAGAGUAAUCUAAAGAAGUUGGCUAGUAGCAGGAGGAAAGAGAGAAAGUGAUUUUGGGGAGACAAGUAAAUGGGAAGACAAUAGAGUACCAAAAAAACUCAAAUAUAAAUGUUAAGAAAAGUAAAAAAAAGGAAAAAUAGGAGAUCAAAAAAUAUACAACGCAACAAUAAUAUUCUCAGUAACCUAAUUCAUGAAAAGUACUUGGUUUCACAGAUGUUGCUGAUGUGAGGGUGGGAGAAGAGAGAGAAAAGAAAAAGAAAAGGGAGAAAAAAUUUUUUGAAGGAAGUUGCAAGGAUGCUUCCCUUCUCAUCCAAUAUGUGUGGUUGUCUGCUGUUUGCUGGUAACUCUACCCUCAGAUGGUGAAGGUUAUUAGGGUAGAAGGUUUGGUCUUGAGGGACAGAGCUCCUAGAGGUGUGGAUAGCAUUUGUCCUUCCCUGAUGGGAGACUGUACCCCAAGGAUCUCUUCUGGGGUCUGCUCAUGUGAUGUGGGUGUCUGGUCUUAUCUCCUUAAAUCGCCUGUAGACUUCACAAUUCCUGGUCUCUAAUUUAGUCUCUAAACUAUAUCUCACUCACCCCUCUCUUUCUACUUCCCAAUCAGGAACCUUUCUCUCCAGAGGUCUUGUGGGUUCUGCUCUGGGGGCUGCAUACCCAUAGUGGAGAGCUGUUUUGGCAGUUCAGGACUGAACUGUUUUGGCUAUGGACUGGCCAGUAGCCGCAAACACUAUGCCAGGUUAGCGGCUGUAGGGGGAGAGUAGGGAGCUGGGGACUAUAGGUAUCUUGAUAUUGCUUCUAGGCCCCAGCCGGUAGGAGUUGGAAGUUGCCCCAACUAAAGAUGGCAACAAAGAUGUCCCAAGAUGGAGGUGGCUGCUUUCAGAUAUAUGGUGUUGUGUCUGGCAGGGCCCGGGUGGCAUUGGGAGGCGUGUUCAGAGGUGCAGCUCUGUGACAUGCAGUGUUGUGGCUGGUGGCUGUCUCCAGACCCUGUGUGUUGUCCCCAGGUGCAGGCUACUACGUGUAGGGGACUAUGGCAGUGGUUGCAGUGUCCCAAGAUGGAGGCAAAGCAGGGAGCCCCAUGUUGGUAGAUGGGGGUCCACACGGGAGUAGUGGCCAGAGGUCCUGCAUGUGGGCAGCAGCCAGGGUCCUGUGUAGGAGUGGCAGCUGGGAUUCCUGCAUGGGUGGGCAGCUAGAGGUCCUGGUGGGUGCUGAUGCUGGUGGUCCUGCUUGGCACAGUGGCUGGGAAUCCUGUGUGGGAGCAGCUGUCAGGAAUCCUCUAAUAACUCGCAGAGAAACAGUAUUCCCACUACUUGAAUCCCAGGUCAUGGAGCCACACAGAAUGCAGCCUCCUUCUAGUCUGCCAUCUUCGAUCUCCUAUUCCCAGCCCUUUUAAUUUUAUUUGAGACAGGGUCUCACUAAGUUGCCAAGGUUUCCCUUGAAUUUGUAAUCCUCCUGCCUCAGAACCCAGAGUACCUGGAAUUAUAGGCAUGUUUCACCAUGCCUGGCUAAUAUGUAUCUUUCAGUGUGUGUGAGUUGUAUAAGCUGGUUGUAACACAGGUUGUGUUAUUAUAUUGUGUGUAGCUUCUUAUUCACUCUUCUAAGGACAGCAAUGUAUGUGUAUUUCACUUACACCAGACUGCUGCUGCUAUUGGCUGUCCUCAAAUGCUCAAACCACUAUUCUACAAAAUACUAGACCAUUCUGUUGGUGAGCAUAGAGGCAUAAAGUGAAUCUGAGAGCCUGGAGAUCAUGUAGUCUUGGUUCAAUUUCCAACUAACAGGUUUGAGUAAUAUAUUUAGAUAUCUUAAAAGGCAGCAUGAUAAAAGGAUAAGCUAGAAACUUGGAGGUUUAAGAGUUGGCUGGGAGUCAGGCUCCCUUAACUUCUAUCGGCUUCCCAAACCCCAGGUCACCCCAAAUAGUAACAAACCAUGUAAACAUGACGAGCUUUGCAUAGCUCAUAGCUUUAGGACAAGUACUUAGGCCUCUCACUUCUAAUCAGUCCUUUACAGAGGACUGUGUCCACCUACACUGACUGUUAGUGGAGUACCAAGUCAAUUCCCAAGAUGGUCUCAAGUUAGAGGCAUAAUUUAAUUUAUGAACUAAUAUAGUCAUCCCAAACUCAGAUCCAUUUGAGGUCAAAAGCAGUUUCCCCAGUGUUCAGAAAUUCCUCUCUGAACUUCCUGCCACUUUCACCAGCCCCCAUUCUUCCUCCUCUCCCUCUAUUCUUUUCUAUUAUCAGGCCUGAUAUAGGUUGAAUUGUGCUCCACCCCUGGAAGUCCUAGUCCUCAGGACCUUGGAAUAUGACCUUAUUGUGAAAUAAUAUCCACUUGGAUAUAAUUAACUAAGAUCAAGUCAUACUGGAGUAGGAUGGGCCAAACAUGACUGUGUCCAUAUAAGAAGACCAUGUGAAGACACAGAGACAUAAGGAGAAAAUGAUGUAAAGAAGGAGUGAUAAAUCAAUGACCAAGGAACACCAAUGAUAGCCACCUAUCACUAGAAGCUAGGAAAGGGCGAGACAACAGAUUUACCCUCAGAGACUUCAGGAAGAAACAACCCUACCAACACCUUGAUUUUAGACAUCUAGCUUCUAGAACUAUAAGAAUACAAAUUUCUGUUCUUUUAAGCCACCCAAUUUGUAGUACUAUAUGGCAGUCCGGGAGGUAAAUACAAAACUAUACAGUCCUUUCUGAGCCUAGACUCCAUAGGGAGACUGUAUUAGUCCAUUUUCUGUUACUAUAAAGAAAUACCUGAGACUGGGUGCUCAUAAAGAGAAGAGGUUUAUUUAGCUUAUGUUUUAGAAGCUGAAAGUCCAAACAAAAUGACACUAGUUCUGGCCCCCUUAUUUGCAUCACCUUAUGGUUGUGGUUGUCACAAUGGCAGGACUUCAAGCAAGAAGAAAUCACACCACUAGAAAAAGGAGCCAGAGAGCAAGGAAUGGCCCAUAAUGAUCUCUUACUAAGCUCUACUUCUUAAAGGUUUACCACCUCAACACCCCCACCCCACACUGAGGACCAAGCUUCCAAUACAUGAACUCUUGGAGGACAAACCACAUCCAAACCAUAAAUGAGUCACUGAGCAAGGUUUUGACCAGUACCCCUGGUUCCAAUGCCCCUGCCCAGCCAGUCUUGCUAAUCCCAAUUCGGGAUAUAACACACCAUCUAAUUUCCGGCUGCAGUCUGUGGCUGUCCAGAUGAUAGUGAAAUUAGAUGAACUGGUUAUACUGCAAUGUCUCCAACUACAAUUCACUGCUCUCUGAGCCUGAGCAAUUUUCCAUCACACUGAACUAAGUAUCAUAAAGAUUCCUAACUAGUGGGGUGAGAAGGGCUUGCGGUUAAAAUAAAAGCUGGGCCUCCUCAUUGCUUUACUUCAUUUAAAAUUUGUUCUGAAUUUCUAAAAUCAUUAGGGGGAGUUAGGGAAUUCACAUGUUUUGCAGAGGAGUGUAAAGGUAGGUCACAUUUCCCUUCAUGCAUAUCUCUUGUCAGAGAUUAAUACACAGGGAAAGGAGUUUGAAUUCAGGCUUGCCUGACUACUUACCUCUCUUUUUAGCUUGUUUCAACCAGCCUCUUGUUGACUCGCUCCACUAAAAUUGCUCUUUGAAUGAUCAUCAAUGGCCGUUUAGAUACCAAAUCUAAUAAUUCCCCCUCAUUCUUUGUUCUCAUCCUCUCAUUUAAAAUUGAUGACUUUCUCUUCUUUCUUGAAGUUGUCUCUUUGUUCUGCAUUUCUGCUCUUCCAAGUCUUCCCUCUAACUCCAUUUCCUUCUCCUUUUCCCUAAAGUUAUAUCCCAAUAUCAUCUUUGGUCAUUUUUUUAUAGUACUAGAGAUUGAACCCAUGGGCACUUUACUACUGAACUACAGCCUCAGUCCUUUUUUUUUUUUUUUUAAUUCUCGGCAGACACAACAUCUUUGUUUGUAUGUGGUGCUGAGGAUCGAACCCAGGCCGCACGCAUGCCAGGCGAGCACGCUACCGCUUGAGCCACAUCCCCAGCCCCAGCCUCAGUCCUUUUAAAAAUUUUAUUUUGAGACAGAGAAUCUAAGUUGCUGAGGCGGGACUUGAACUUGCAAUCCUCUUGCCUCAACCUCCUCAGUCACUGUGAUUAUAGACCUGCAUGCCUGCCCAACUUCCUUGGUCAUCUUGUUGUCGUUUCUCUGCUCUUUCUUGGUCAUUUCAUUCAAACUCCUAUUUUUCUAUCUACUGGCAUAAUUUUGCAGGGCAUCUGCAAAUCAUCUUGGCCUUGAGCUUUUCUUUCAAGGUCCCCGUUUCUAGCUGCCUCUGGGAUGUCACUAUUGGUUGCCUCCCUACUUUAAACUCAACAUGCCUGCAAAUGGACUCAAGUUUCUCCCCCUAGAGAUUCUACAUAUUUUGUACAUCUUGAGGAAUGUAACACAUGGCCACCAAUGCAGUUCUGACAGUAUGGUGGUGCUCAGGCCACUUCCCCGCUCAGAAAGCUCCAGUGGCUUCCUACAGCCCAAAGUAAAAAGUCCAACCCUAUUGUCCAAUAAUGCCUUGCUCAUAAUCCCAACCCUUCUUUACAACCAAAAUGUUUUCUCUUUUCCUCCCAUGUAGCCUUCAUAGCAGUUAGGCUCAACUUCUUAUUGAGCUCCAAACGCUCCACUCCUUUUGGCUUCCUUCCUUGCCACCUAAGUUUAGAGUCCAUCUUCCUAGAGUAGGCUCCUUUACUCUAUUCCUGAAUUUCCUAAUCAUUCUCAUUCUUCAAAGCUCAGUUCCAAUGUCACUUUCAUAAAGCCAUGAAUGACUGCUCUGUCCUGCCCACCUAACUAGAAGUUACUUCUCUAGUCUCUGAGUUCUCAUAGCUCUUUUUCAAACCUCCUUUUUAUGAACCUAACAUUCAUCUAUGUAUGAAGUUAUUUGUAUGAGUGAUAAUAAAUACCAUUUUUCCCUUUCUCUUUCUGAUGGUGGGGAUCAAAUGCAGAGACUUGUGUGUGGCAGGCAAGAGCUCUACCACUGAGCUACACCCCCAGCUCUCCUUUGUUCAAAUCUUAAUGCAAUCUUGUUUAAUUCUCCUGUUGAUUUUAUGAGUUGUACUAUUAUCCUCAAUUUGCAAGUUAGGAAACUGAGGCACGGAGAGUUCAUCCUUAUCCAAGGGUAAGUAAGUGGGUUCAAAUGAUACAGAUGCAGUCAGCCUCCAGAGUUCAGACUUCUAACUACUACUACAUGAGACACUAUUUUGGUUUAUUAGACAGGAACCUCCUGGAUGGUAAUAACCCUGAUUCCUAAUGCCAUCCAUUAUACUUUAAAGAAGUUUUUGUUUGUAGGUUGUGUGGCACUGGGAACUGAACCCAGGGGCUUUUUAUCAUGGAAUUACAUCCCCAGCAUCCCUUCUUUUUAUUGUGAGAGUCUUGCUUUGUUGCCAAGGCAGGCCUUCAACUUGUGAUCCUGCUGCCUCAGUCUCCCCAGUUGCUGGGAUUAUAGGUAUGUGCCACCACACCCAGGUCACUUUAAAGUUCUGAGAAAAGGAAGAGAGUUCAUUAAAAAUUCUUUUUUUUCUCCUUACUGAGUAAAUUAGUGUCUUUUAUAUGGUAUUUGCUGCAAAUACUAUAGCUCCAUUGCCCCACCACUCUCCAUCUCUUUUUGCCCUCAUGCUCUCAGCCUGUGGAAAAGGGUAUGUUCCAAGGAAGGGCAAAGGGGCCUCCCUCUUCCUAGUCUAAGAAAUCUCAGGAGUUCUCUAGGGCAGUGUAGACUUCCUGAGUAACACUCAAGUGGCAUCCCUCUUCAGCAAGCAAGUACUCUACAUUUGUAACCUCAGCUUGUUCCAGGGAAUGAACUUCUUGAAAUAAACACAGAGGAACAGGACUUUUUAUUAUCUCCAGAUGGGAUUGUACAGGCUUGGAAGCUGUUGAAAUAUUUCUGCUCUGCCUGGAUCAAACUUCUGUUAUCUUCCCAAAGGGAACAAAGUUUCUUUCAUUGAGAAAUAGUAAAUUUUGUGUUAACUAAUUUAAACCAACUUAGAUUAAAUUCCACCAAUAGACCCUCCAAAAUCUAGAUUUUUAUGAUGUGCUUUUUAUUUAAUUUUGUAUCCUCCCCACCUGAUUCACCUUUCCCUCCCCCUAGUAUUGGGAAUUGAACUCAGGGGUAUUCUACCGUUAAGCUAUAUCCCCAACCAUUUUCAUUUUAUUUUGAGACAGAGUCUUUCUAAAUUGUUUAGUCUAGCCUUGAACUUGUGAUCCUCUUCCUCAGGCUCUUGAGUUGCUGGAAUUAUAGGUGUGUGCCAUCACAUUUCUCUCCCUUUUAAAAUCAGAUUUUAGGCUGCAUUGGCAUGUGUGAGGACAUAUACACACAAUUGUGAAAUUGUUUUUGAAUCAUAAAUCGAGGUUUAGUUGUUGUUUUUUAAAAUAAGGAUUAACCUGAAAGUGGAAAUACAAGGCCUUUAAGACAUUUUAUUUUAAUUCCGUUAGUGGCAGUCAGUUGAGCAACUUCCGCACAAAAGGAGUCCAAUAAACAUCUAAUGAAUGAACACCAUAAAUACUUAUGAUUUGGGGCUAUAACAAUAUAAAAUAUAAUUGAAAAAUGAUGGUGCCACCUAUUGGUGAUGAUAUAAAAUGUAACCUUAUCACAGACAUGUCAUUUCAUGUUUCACAAUCAUUUGUUACUUAUUCCCACAGAGAUUCUAAGAGUAACUGAGGAGCUACAAGGAAGGCUUGAAUCAUGUGCAUAUGAGGGAGGCACCAAUGUUUCAACUGGGUUGCUUUCUAUUGGGUGCCUAUUAAGCACUCAGCGCGUUGGAGGAUGCCAGAGAAUUGAAGACUGCCUUCAAUCUCCUGCCUUCAAGGAUCAUCUUAUCUACUUGGGAAGAGACCUACCUACUAAGAACUGUCAACCGAUACAACCAAAUAAUUAACAGCCUGACAUUAAAAUAUAUGAUGUUCAUUCCAUGUGUAUGGAUAUAUUUUAUGUACUGUAUUAUAUGAAAACCAUACUUUCUGAACCCACAGGACAGGAAUAAGAUUGUUUUGUGCACAAUUUACCUCAGGCCUACUAUACCACAGCACCUGGCACUUAGUAGGAAAUUGAUAAAUACUAUUGAAUAACUGAAUAAGUCAGGUAUCAUAGUAAAAUAUAUGUGGCUUAUAGAAUACUUUAAAUCAAGACUGGCAAAACAGAUCAAAAAAUAUGUAUAAUCAUAGGAAAUCCUAUAGAGCAAGUGAAUCUUGAGUUAGAUUCUGGAAAAUUCCUUAAGGGACUUAUAACCUAAUAGAUUGAAACCAUCAGUACAGAGAGACCUCUUGUACCCUUGGAUUUGGUUUGAAUUUGAGAUUUUUGUGGUUUGCUGUGCUAACCCACGCUUUUCCCUCACACAUGGACUGGAUUUUUGCUCGAAGUCCAAAGCAAAAGAAGAGAAGAAGACAGAUGGUGGAUAGUUGCAAGAAUGUAUACAUUAAUUCUACUUGCGGAAGUUUUAUGGGUGGGAAUAAUUCCUGAAGUAGGCAAGCAGCUUGUUUUCCUUCUUCCUACCCUCCAACCCAACUGUGUGCUCCAAAGUAUUCCUAAAAUAUUUGGCAAUAAGUACUACAAAUCUUAAAAAUCAUUGUGUUUUGAUUUAGUAAUUUUCCUUCUAAAAGUAUGUUAAGGAAAUAACCAGAAAUGUGAACAGAAACUUUUUGAAACAAAGAAAAUAUCACUAUUCAGCAUAAAAGCAGUUAAAUUUUUAAAGUUUAAUUAAAUUAAGUUUUGAUACAGAUAUAAGCCAAUUCUUACAUAAUAUUUAAAAAUAUGCCACAAAAUUGUGUAUGUAUAGGUAUCCCUGAAUAGAAUUAUAGUUGUUUAAAUUUUACUCUAUUGUAUAAAAUUUAUAUCUUUGAGGGGUUGGGAUUGUAGCUCAGUGGUAGGGUUCUUGCAGGCAUAUGCCAGGCUGGGUUUCAUUUCCAGCACUGAAAAAAAAAAGUUUUUGAAAUUUAGUGCAUGUUCUGACUAACAUUCCUCUGGUUGUGCCCUGCUUUCAAUGUCUUUAACUAGUCCUUGAUUAGACUAUAUUGCAACUUCAUAGAGAAAAGAUUAAUAUAUAGAAAAUUGAUAAUAAUGCAAAUGCUUCCUGUCCAUAGCUAUGAUUUCUGUUUCUGUGAUGCCAACACAAAUUAAUUUUGUCUAGUGGAUAAUAUAAAUCUUCAUAAAUCAAAUUCCCAUUGAUUUUAGCAUAUUAGUGAUUCCCUCAUUAAUUAAUGUCUUAAAUAAAAAAUUCGAUGUUUUCAUUUUAUAUUUCUCUGUAGUAAUAAUUUUGCCUUAUUUUGAAAAUAAUUCUUUAACACUAAGUAUUUCUUAUAUUCUAAGAAAUACCUAUUGUUUUCUACCAUAAAUAUGUUACUAAUUUUAGUAAACUUUUUAAGUAUAACAUGCAUGCAGAAAAGUAUAGAAGUUUAAAGAUUAACGCAUUUCCACAAAAAUCAACAUACCAUGUACCUAAGACCCAAAUCAAGGAAUAGAACCUAUUGCCAUCCCAAAGUGCUUUUGUGGCUCUUUCCUUGUCACUCUAACCACCUUCCUUUUUUAAACACUGUCCUGCCUUGCAGCAUCAUGGAUUCAUAGUGUGUUCUCUUUUGUGUCUGGCUAUCAUGGCUAUCAUUAAUGUAUAUGGUUACAUAAAAUUCUGUUCUUUCAUUCCCUUUGCUUUGUAGUGUUCCAUUAUCUGAGUAGAUCACAUAAUGUCCAUUCUAAUGCUGAUAGACAUUCAGAUUGUUUCUGGUUUGGGGGCUAUUGUUAGCUAAUAAGCAAGGCAGGCACUUUUACAUUUACAGAGGAGAAAACUGCCACUUCUUUAAAAGACUGUUAAUGACCCUUCAAAGUUGUUUUUGUUGCAGCAAAAACUCUUGGAAAAACUUAGGAAGAACCAGCCAAGGUCACCCAGUCACACUGACUCACUCUUUUAGGCAACCUAGAUUAAACUUGGCUCAGUCUAUACUAAGCUAAGCAUACUCAGAAACAUUCCUGUCCAGUAAUUUUUCCUUCUUAAACAUGUGCUGUAGGACCUUGAACUGAGCAUGCCCAGAACUGUUGUCCCCCACCACAUGUACUUUCCUAUAUGAAUAUGUAUAGAUUCCCCAAACAAAAUCCUCAUGCUUCCUUUGUUUGGGGAGAGCACUGCUUUGCAGAUAACCCCAGUGCUUUUCUUACUUGAUGCAGGCAAUAAACUAUCUCCACUCUCUUACCUCCUGGUGUGCUUUUUGGCUUUGUACUCUGCUACCAGCCAUAGCCAAGUAGUAAUGAUGCAUGGCAUUUUUGGUUGAAAGGUAACGCCAGCAAGCCAUUGAGAUGAUAUGAUUAUGUUAAGAUCUGCAUUCAAAUGGAUAUUAGACCCCUGCUGUCUGCCUAGGCCUGCUACUUUGGAGCUCUAGCGGGAUUCCCGGAGAGUUCCCAUUGGUUGGGGAAGUACGGUAGGAGGGAUUUCCGGAGGAGGGAUUUGUCUGUUGGGGUAGUGCGGCCCGGGAGAACGCCACGUGUGUGGUUCGGCAUAUUUCCCGGGAGAGUGCGUGGCAUUGGC